rnacentral:lncRNA from 1 species
CUGGCAAGUACCUGUAAUCUUGGCUACUCCAUAGGCUGAAGCAUGAGAAUGGCUUGAACCCAGGAGGCUAAGAUUGCAGUGAGCCGAGAUCACGCCACUGCACACCAGCCUGGUUGACAGAGCUAGCUAGACUCUGUCUCAAAAAAAUGUAUAUAUAUAGUAAUGGCCAAAUAGUAUUCCUGUAGCAAUAAAGCAGUAACUUUAAUGAAUAAUUAAAUAAAAGCAAUAAAAGAUAACUGUAGCAAUAAAUAACUUUAUUUAAUGAUAAAAUUGAUGAAUACUCAGGUUAUUUUCAAUUUUUACAAUACUGUCCAUCUUAGGUUACAUUUGUAAGUAUAUAUUUAGGAUAAAUUCCUAGUAGUGCAUCAAAGGACAUUUAAAAUUUUAAAAUAUGUUGCCAAGUUGUACUCCAAAAAUUUUGCACCAAUUUAAAUUCCCACCAACAGUAUACAAAUGUGUUUAUUUUAAUCUUUUCUUUCCAACCCCACAUAUAGCAGAACUUUCUAGUGUUUCCCUUUUUGAUGAAAUGUCUCUUUGCUGUUUUGAUUGCAUUUAAGUAUUUUCAGUCAGGUUGAGAAUCUUUUCAUAUAUUUCAGGUCAUUUGUUGUAUUAGUCAGGGUUCCCUAGACAGACAGAACUAAUGGGACAGACGUAUAUAAAAAGGGGACUUUAUUAAGGACUAUUGGCUCAUAUGAUCACAUUGUGAAGUCCCACAAUGGGCUGUGUGCAAGCUGAGGGGCAAGGAAGCCAGUCGGAGUCCCAAAACCUCAAAAGCAGGGAAGCCAACAGUGUAACCUUCAGUCUGUGGCCUGAGGCCUGAGAGCUCCAAGCAAGUCACUGAUGUAAGUCCAAGAGUCCAAAAGCUGAAGAACUUGGAGUCUGAUGUUUGAGGACAGGAAGCAUCCAGCAUGGAAGAAAAAUGAAGGCCAGAAGACUCAGCAAGUCUGCUCAUUCCACAUUCCUCUGCCUGCUUUAUCCUAGCCGCGCUGGCAGCUGAUUAGAUGAUGCCCACCCAGAUUGAAGGAGGACCUUUCAGUCACCUUUGUAUUCCCAGUGCUUAGCAGAGGGACCUGCCCAUAGACCACUGGAUACCAAUGGAAUGAGGAGAUGAAGAAUUUGGCGAAGGAAGUGAACAGCUUAUAGGAGAAGAAGGAGAGAAUAGGGAAAGCUCUUCUAGAUACCAAAACAAGCAAGAAGAGUUGGGCUGGAUUUUAAUUCAAAAUAAAGUCUGAACUUUUCUUCCCCAUCUCAGUGAUGCUGAAUUGACCCUCCUCCUCUCCAAAUGGAGAGAUGGCAGCUCCUGCCUUGUGGCACACGGUAGCCUUCAGGAACCUGAAACCAUCACUGAAAAGUGCAGGAGGAGGGAAGGCACCCAGAGAAUGGAAGGUAGCUCUGCCCUUCCUCAGGCACAUCACAUCAUGCCAAUCCAUAUACGACACUGUAACGCAUCGGGUACAUUUCCAGAAGAAAUGAACUUAUGAAUUUCACAGCAUUUGGGCACGGGGACUUCACCAACAUCUUCAGUCAUAUUCAUAAUCAACUAAAAAUACUAUCUUCAGUUAACAAGUGUUGGUAACAUUAUAAAAGUAUUAUUUCUGAGACUAGUUCAAUUUUUAAAAUUCUUUUCUUUCUUUUUUAUGUGUUCAUUUUUCGUUAUUUUUAUUCUUUUAAAAAAAUUUUUGAUUCUCUUUUCCUUUUUUUAAAUCUUUGAUUUAUUUUCUGUCUUCAAAAUCUGUUCCCAUGUAAUUCAAAAUUUACUAAUCGGACUACCAUCUUGCCUUUAGUGUUGAGAGAUGACACACAAUGACACAUUACAAAAUAGAUGACAUUCAUCUAGAAUCUAAAUAGCUAAGAAUCUAAAGCAACCAGAUCUUUAUCUCUCCCCCACAUGGUCUUGUACAAUGACACUGAUGCCCACUCAAAUGAGCCUGAUACCUUCUAAGAUUCUAAAAUUUACCUGAAUCAUGAUAAAGAUUAUUUUUGCUCUGUAAAGUGUGUCCAUUGUUUUCACUGUAUACCAAUUCUUUGAAACUUAGAAAUCCAAAAUAAAAGACUUCCCAGUGCAUCCUUAGCCAGAAAAUUCCCCACAUUUGCUUCUUGACAAGUCUACCAGAUUAUCCACAAAUUUUGGGGGUUUCUACUCCUUAAACCCAGGUGGUGAAGAACAUGGUUAAACAGACAUGGGCUCAAAUCUUGUCCACUUAUACCUAUAAUCUUGGGCAAGUUGGUCAACUUUCUGAGUUCAAUUUCUUUAAGUGAAAAUUGAGAAUAACAAUAUCUACCUCAUAAAGUAUUGGUGUGGG